rnacentral:rRNA from 1 species
UACGGAGGGGGCUAGCGUUGUUCGGAAUUACUGGGCGUAAAGCGCACGUAGGCGGCUUUGUAAGUUAGAGGUGAAAGCCCGGGGCUCAACUCCGGAAUUGCCUUUAAGACUGCAUCGCUAGAAUUGUGGAGAGGUAAGUGGAAUUCCGAGUGUAGAGGUGAAAUUCGUAGAUAUUCGGAAGAACACCAGUGGCGAAGGCGGCAUCCUGGACCAAUAUUGACGCUGAGGAGCGAAAGCCAGGGGAGCAAACGGG